ACACACACUCACACACAUACACAGAUUCAUACACUCAGUUACAUACUCGUAUACACACCCUGAUCGGCGGCGGCGGCCCGCACCAUCACCAAACCACUGUGGCAUGGGGUGGGGGAACUACUUGUGGAGGGGAGAAGAGGGCAGGACCCCGUCCAAACGAGACGAGCCAAUUGUCAAGGACAAAGGCG
ensembl:ncRNA M163.17 ncRNA